rnacentral:tRNA from 1 species
CCUUCGAUAGCUCAGUUGGUAGAGCGGGGGCUGUAGAUUUAUAAUUGUGAUCGCUAAUUCGCUGGUUCGAAUCCGGCUCACAGGA